AGCUUUAAUAGUUUAAAAACAAAAUAUUGAUUUUGUAAAUCAAAGAUACUAAUCUUUAAAGC
rnacentral:tRNA from 1 species